CCCAACACUUCAUCCAUCUCACUUCCCCAGUCCCUGAUGAGGAGUCCCUGACUCUCCCCAGGCCCUGGGCCCUGCUCCAGGCCCCAGGGCCACCCUACUAUAAAUAGCCCCUCGGGUUUCAUCUGCUGCUGAUCCACAGCCACUUUUGGAGGAAGCCACCACAGCUGCUUCGAACAACUGGAAGCCACAACUUAGCCAAGACUCAGCCGAAGCUUCAGGUGGGCACCGAUCAUCACUCAGACACCCGUGGGUGGCUCAAGAUUACCACCCUAGGCUCCAUUAUUUACUGCCUUCUUCCUCUCCCUACAGCAAGAGCGACCUGUCUCCAUACGCGAAGCUGCCCCAUCAGACCCGGCUGCUACACCAUCCUUGCUCAUUGGCACAACCAGGCGUUGCCUCGUGCAGUGGCUUCCCUUCAUGCCAAGAUGGAGAGUUCCCUCAUGCAUGAAGCCCUCCCUGACCACCACACCAAGCAGGGAUCUGAGCGCUAGUCAGCCUCCCUAUCUGCCGAUGAUCUCCGCAUAGGAAGGAUCUCACUGUGGGAAUAUAUGCUUUUGUUUGCCUACAACUGUGUUAUUUACAAUUCUUACUAUACCUUCAUCUACCAACAUUUUUAUCAGCCUGAAUGGUUGAUACAUUGUGUCAACUUGAGACUUCUCGAAGUUUAACUAAGCAAUUCAGCAGGGAGCCAAGGUC